AACGAACGCUGGCGGCAUGCCUAACACAUGCAAGUCGAACGAGACCUUCGGGUCUAGUGGCGCACGGGUGCGUAACGCGGGGGAACCUGCCCUUAGGUUCGGAAUAACUCCCCGAAAGGGGUGCUAAUACCGGAUAAUGUCUUCGGACCAAAGAUUUAUCGCCGUUGGAUGGGCCCGCGUUGGAUUAGCUAGUUGGUAGGGUAAAAGCCUACCAAGGCGACGAUCCAUAGCUGGUCUGAGAGGAUGAUCAGCCACACUGGGACUGAGACACGGCCCAGACUCCUACGGAAGGCAGCAGUGGGGAAUAUUGGACAAUGGGCGAAAGCCUGAUCCAGCAAUGCCGCGUGAGUGAUGAAGGCCUUAGGGUUGUAAAGCUCUUUUACCCGGGAUGAUAAUGACAGUACCGGGAGAAUAAGCUCCGGCUAACUCCGUG
rnacentral:rRNA from 1 species